rnacentral:rRNA from 1 species
UAACACGUAGGUAAUCUGCCGUACGAUUGGGGAUAGCCCAUGGAAACAUGGGGUAAUACCGAAUACGACCCUUAGGGGGGAAAGGCGCUUCGGCGCCGUCGUACGAUGAGCCUGCGGCGCAUUAGUUAGUUGGUGGGGUAACGGCCUACCAAGGCGACGAUGCGUAGCCGACCUGAGAGGGUGAUCGGCCACACUGGGACUGAGAUACGGCCCAGACUCCUACGGGAGGCAGCAGCUAAGAAUCUUCCGCAAUGGACGAAAGUCUGACGGAGCGACGCCGCGUGGGCGAGGAAGGCCGAAAGGUUGUAAAGCCCUUUUCU